rnacentral:rRNA from 1 species
UAACUUAGAUUUGGGUGGCGGACGGGUGAGUAGGGGCGGUAAAGAACUUGCCUCGCAGCUAGGGACAACAUUUAGAAAUGAAUGCUAAUACCUGAUAUUAUGAUUUUAAGGCAUCUUAGAAUUAUGAAAGCUAUAAGCACUGUGAGAGAGCUUUGCGUCCCAUUAGCUAGUUGGAGAGGUAACAGCUCACCAAGGCGAUGAUGGGUAGCCGGUCUGAGAGGGUGAACGGCCACAAGGGGACUGAGACACGGCCCUUACUCCUACGGGAGGCAGCAGUGGGGAAUAUUGGACAAUGGACCGAGAGUCUGAUCCAGCAAUUCUGUGUGCACGAUGAGGUUUUUCGGAAUGUAAAGUGCUUUCAGUUGGGAAGAAAGAAAUGACGGUACCAACAGAAGAAGUGACGGCUAAAUACGUGCCAGCAGCCGCGGUAAUACGUAUGUCACGAGCGUUAUCCGGAUUUAUUGGGCGUAUAGCGCGUCUAGGUGGUUAUGUAAGUCUGAUGUGAAAAUGCAGGGCUCAACUCUGUAUUGCGUUGGAAACUGUAUAACUAGAGUACUGGAGAGGUAAGCGGAACUACAAGUGUAGAGGUGAAAUUCGUAGAUAUUUGUAGGAAUGCCGAUGGGGAAGCCAGCUUACUGGACAGAUACUGACGCUAAAGCGCGAAAGCGUGGGUAGCAAACAGGAUUAGAUACCCUGGUAGUCCACGCUGUAAACGAUGAUUACUAGGUGUUGGGGGUCGAACCUCAGCGCCCAAGCAAACGCGAUAAGUAAUCCGCCUGGGGAGUACGUACGCAAGUAUG